rnacentral:sRNA from 1 species
UUGAGGAACUGAAGAUUAGGCAUUCUUU